rnacentral:rRNA from 1 species
AAUUUUGGACAAUGGGGUCAACCCUGAUCCAGCCAUCCCGCGUGUGCUAUGAAUGCCUUCGGGUCGUAAAGCACUUUUGGCUGUGAAGAACAUGCUCUGGUGAUUACCCGGAGCUGCUGACGGUACCUGCAAAAGAAGCCCCAGCUAACCACGUGCCAGCAGCCGCGGUCAUACGUAGGGUGCAAGCGUUAAUCUGAAUUACUGGGCGUAAAGCGUGCGCAGGCGGUUUGGCAAGAAGGAUGUGAAGGCCCGGGGCUUAACCUUGGAACUGCAUUCUUAACUGCCAGGCUAGAGUAUGUCAGAGGGGGGUAGAAUUCCGCGUGUAGCAGUGAAAUGCGUAGAGAUGCGGAGGAAUACCGAUGGCGAAGGCAGCCCCCUGGGAUAAUACUGACGCUCAUGCACGAAAGCGUGGGGAGCAAACA